UGGGUGAUGGCCGAGUGGUUAUGGCGACAGGUUUAAGGAUCUAUUCCAAACUUCUGUUGACGCAAGUCGCGCGAGUUCGAACCUCGCUCACCCAA